AUGAAUGAUGAUGAUGUACAUUGGCGGUUCACGGGUUUUUAUGGUCAUCCGGUUUGGAGUGAUCGUAAGUUAUCGUGGGAUAAUAUUAGGAAUUUACAUAGUCUGGUUCAUCAUCCCUGGGUGAUCUUAGAGGAUUUUAAUGAAAUUUUACUGUCAUCAGAAAAAGAGGGCGGAAAUGUAAGACCAAAUGCUAUGAUGAUAGAUUUUCGUAACUGUUUAGGGGAGUGUGGCCUCGAGGAUAUGGGUUGUAUUGGUGACCCCUUCACUUGGAAGAGAGGCGAUACUAGAGAUAGGCUGGACCGCGCGGUGUGCAAUGUGGAAUGGGCGAAUAAAUUCCCUCGGGCCGCGAUAAUUAAUGAGGAACAUGUUCAUUCUGAUCACCGUCCACUCAUACUGGAUACGGAAUAUUUUGAUGGA
rnacentral:rRNA from 1 species